UCUCAAACUCAAAAUCGAGCAGCAAAUAGAAGAGUGGAAGAUCGAUCACUAGCAAAGGCUGUUGGGAGGCAAUGAACAAAGGGUCAUCACAAGAUUUUUUGUUCUUGAUUCACCGUGACAUAAGAUCGAAAGUGAAAAACCCGAGGUAAGAAGGAAGACGAGAAAAAAAGAGGCUGGGAACAGACAGAGCAUGGAUAGAGCUUACUUACAGAAACCCUUUUGUUUUGACCCUUCCCAUGCACUGCCUCUUCCCUGGCCUUUUUCCCUCUUCUCUUCCACCCUCUUUUUCUUUUUUGGUCAAACCGAAAGUAUGAUUGAUUUAAUUCUUUACGCUAAAGCUUAUCUUCAAAAGUUAAUGAUUCUAAUUUGUUUUAUUGGUCUUGAUCGAAUUGGACGAAUCAUUUGCGAAGGCGACAUGGUACCGGUACUCGUCGACCAAGAACCAAGAGCCCGAGAUCAACCGUUCACCGAUACAUGAGUUCAUCGUGGCCAACGCUAGAACAAAGCUCAUGCAUGUAUUCAAGGUCCAAGGAAAACAAUAUUGGUGUAGAUUGAACAUAUAGUUUGUAGAUAUAUACUCGGUCAAUAUCAUCCAACCAAGUGUUUAACCAACCCGGUUCGACCAACAGAUUAUUUUCUUAAUAAACCAACUACUACUGUGAAUAAGUAAAGACUGAAUCUUCCAGUUUGUUCUCUGCACAAAAAUCAACCGAUGUUGCCAUAUGAUCAAGGGAAAUCUAAAACACUAUGAUCUGUAGUAUCUACACCCAAAUAGCUGCAAGAGUCUUAUGUACGAAACCUACCGCGACCAAAACCACUGAUCGUUGCAAAUGACUCAUAAAAAGCCUACGCUAUCUUAAAACUAACGAAACGUUAUAUCGAAUUAGCGCGAAUGUCAGAAGGUUUUAUGUCCAG
rnacentral:lncRNA from 1 species